ACCCAUGUACAAAUUAAUUGAAAUCAUAAAAAUUAUCUCUUUCUACACCAGCAAACAUUAUUACCAGAACGCAUGAUUCAACCAUUACCGCCCAUUAGGUCUAUUCAUUGAAUUUUGGCCAGAACCUUCUAUGCGUUGGACUGAGCUCUUGAAUCCAAAGCGACCAAGCCUCACCCACUUAGAAGAGGGCCUAAAUCAGCCUGGGCCGUGUCAUGUGAAGGGUGCCCAAGCCCUUUUCUAAGGGGAGGGGAGAGUGGGGUUGCUGGGGGGGG
rnacentral:misc_RNA from 1 species